rnacentral:rRNA from 1 species
CCUGAGAAACCCAAAAGGUCGAAUGGGGAGAUUCAUUGUCAGCGCAUUUUGUAUAUGUGUAAGUUGUGAUGCGGGUUACCCUCGGGUAUCGCCUGCACAUGCUUGCAUGUUUUGUAGCAAGAUGUUGUCGGCGUGCACUUCUUCCCUAGUAGAACGUCGCGACCCGUUGGAUGUCGGUCUACGACUCAAGUGGAAGUCUUUAAUGUUUCAAUAACAUUAAAAGCCCUUGAUGUUUUCUGGCCGACUAUCUGUCGGUAUUCGUACGGUAUUUAGCCGCAAAUAAUAUGCGUCCAUAACCGUCACAAGUGAGGCCAGAUAUCAGUAAGUACGGACCUAGUGCCGUCGCUGUAUUUGGUCAGCUGUUGGUUGUACGGUGUUCUAGGACAGGCUAGAAUUAUUACCGGUCGGCGAUGCUACUGCUUUGGGUACUUUCAGGACCCGUCUUGAAACACGGACCAAGGAGUCUAACAUGUGCGCAAGUCAUUGGGAUUCUUUUAAAUAUAAACCUAAAGGCGUAAUGAAAGUAAAGAUCGGCCUUGCGUCGAUUGAGGGAGGAUGAGUUGCAUUAAGAUUCAGCUCCGCACUCCCAGGGCGUCUCAUUCUCAUUAUGAGAAGAGGCGCACCUAG